rnacentral:rRNA from 1 species
GACGAACGCUGGCGGCGUGCCUAAUACAUGCAAGUAGAACGCAGUUGCGAACGGGUGAGUAACGCGUAGGUAACUGCCUCAUAGCGGGGGAUAACUAUUGGAAACGAAAGCUAAUACCGCAUACGGUGAGAUGGACCUGCGUUGUAUUAGGUAGUUGGUGAGGUAAAGGCCCACCAAGGCGACGAUACAUAGCCGACUUGAGCGGUUGAUCGGCCAGCCUGUGACUGAGUCACGUCCCAGACUCCUACGGGCGGCAGCAGUAGGGAAUCUUCGGCAAUGGACGGAAGUCUGACCGAGCAACGCCGCGUGCGUGAAGACGGUUUUCGGGUCGUAAAGCUCUGUUGUUAGGGAGGCGGUAACUAACCAGAAAGGGACGGCUAACUACGUGCCAGCAGCCGCGGUAAUUC